rnacentral:rRNA from 1 species
GACAGAGGUGCCAAGCGUUAGGCGGAAUCACUGGGCUUAAAGCGUGUGUAGGCGGGUCGUUAAGUACCUUGUGAAAUCCCACGGCUCAACCGUGGAACGGCUGGGUAUACUGGCGAUCUUGAGCCACCUAGGGGCAGUCGGAACAAGUGGUGGAGCGGUGAAAUGCGUAGAUAUCAGGAGGAACACCAAUGGCGAAGGCAGCUCGCUGGGACGGUACUGACGCUGAGGCGCGAAAGCGUGGGGAGCAAACAGG